UACAUUGGGUCGCUUGGGAGAAGUUAUGUUUGCCAAAGAAUCUAGGGGGUAUGGGGUUCAGAGACCUUGAGUGUUUCAACCAAGCUCUAUUAGCCAAACAAGUUUGGAAAAUCUUAACCCAUCCACAAUCCUUGCUGGCAAGAUUUUUAAAGAGCAGGUACUUUAAGGGAGGAGAGUUUAUUGCGGCUUCAUUGGGUGAGAAACCCUCCUUUGCGUGGAGGAGUCUUAUGUUUGGUAAGGAGCUACUUCUUAAAGGACUGAGGCAAAGGGUGGGAGAUGGCAAAACCACAAGAGUCUGGAUAGAUAAAUGGAUAGAUGAUCCGGAGGAAGGAUUAAGAGCGCCGUGGAUUAAGAAUGUAGUCUUCAAUGUUAACUUGAUGGCAAGCUCACUGAUUGAUAUAGAGACAAAGAUGUGGAAUGAACGCAAACUAGCAGAGGUCUUUGUGCAAGGAGAUGUUGAGAUGAUUAUGAAGAAUCAACCAGUGGUCAAGAGACAGGAUUUUUUCACAUGGAAGUUCAACAAAAGUGGGGAAAUGACGGUGAAGUCAGCCUACUGGAUUGCAUCAUCGUUAAAAAUUAAGGAUCAGAUCCCAGAAGCCCUGUCGCUCCCCUCCACGAAUGAGCUUAAGGAGAAAGUGUGGAAAGUCAAAACUCUACCAAAGAUAAGAGUAUUCCUCUGGAAAGCUCUGAGCUCAGCGCUUCCGACGGCUGAUCUAAUCUGCGCAAGAGGAAUGAAGAUAGAUCAGAGAUGUCAAACCUGUGGAAGAGAACCAGAAUCGAUCAAUCAUACUCUGUUUGAAUACACCUUCGCUAGACUAGUAUGGGCCGUCUCAACAGUUCCUAAUGGCAGCUUGGAUGAGGGUUCAGUGUUCACAAACAUGAACUUUCUUCUAAAGCUAGAUGAUCUCAAAGGUUUGCCAGAGAAAGAUAGAAGAGCUUGGCCCUGGAUUUUGUGGAAUAUCUGGAAAAAAAGAAAUGAGAUGUUCUUUGAAGGAAGAUGUCUUAAUGCGUUGGAAUUGGUACAGAAAGCAAUCCAGGAGGCUAACGAGUGGUACGCAGCACAACAGGCCGAGGUAGAGUGGGCUAAAGCUGAAUCAAUGUCCUCUACAUCUUCACAGCGAAAAUGGAUUCCACCAGAACCUGAUUGGGUGAUGUGUAAUGUCGGAAUGGAGUAUUCAAAAAGUAAAGAAUGCGCAGGAGGAGCGUGGGUCCUAAGAAAUGAUAGAGGAGUGGUACUUUGUCAUAGUCGAAGAGCAUUCUCUGGAAUUAAAAGUCGAGAUGAGGCUAAGCUAGUGGUUGUUUUAUGGGCGUUUGAGAGUAUGAGAAGCCAAAGACAAUCCAAUGUCAUCUUUGCGGGUGAAUUUGGGGAUUUAUUUGGUGCACUUCAACGACCACAAGCCGGGCCCUCCUUCCAUUAUCAAAGAUCCCUAAUGGAAAAGGAACUGGAGGGAAUAUUCAAUUGGAAAUUGAAGGUGGUGACCAGAGAAGCAAAUAGGGGAGGCUUUUUCAUUGCUCAAAGUGUCAUCAAGUAUGGACUGGUAAAUUCUUAUGUGGCUAGAGGCCAUCCAUCUUGGUUGUUUGAGUUCUUUGUUAAUGAAAGCCGAUCUCUCUGAAUGUUGUCUCGGUGGAAAAAGAAAUCGGAAGGGAUAACCUCGUUGUGGAGUGUAGUAGUGAGUUGAGAAUAGUAGGGUGUGACCCCUAUUUUAUAUUGCUCUGUUUUGUAAUAUUCUCUCCUCUGGUUUGUCGCAUAACAAGGUAACUGAAGUUUUUUGUGCGAGUUGUUAUGUGGGUUAUGGUGUCAGUGCCAUUUAUUAUAUUAAUGAAACACCUUGACAAAAAAAAAGUAUUUUCAUAUACUUUUUUGAAUAUUUAUAUUUUUAUUUAAUAUUGAAUUCUUUUAUAUAUUCCAGUUUUUUUUAAUACUCAGCCAGCCAAUUUUGAAGUCAUAUAUCUUAAAAUAGAUUUCCAAUGGGCAAGUUAGAGCAUCUCCAAUGUAUGUCUCUAUAUUUUCCUCUAAAAUAGAGAUCUCUAUUAUAGAGGUGGUUUUGCUCUAAUGUAUACCUCUAUAAUAGAGUUCCUCUAUUUUAGAGGAAAAUAUAGAGGAAUCCUACUUUUUACCUCUAUAUUUAAAGAUGAAAAUAACAAAUCUCUAUAUUUUCCCCUAUAAAUAGAGGAACUCUAAUUUAUAGAGGCAUACAUUGGAGCAAAUCCACCUCUAUAAUAGAGUUUCUCUAUUUUAGAGGAAAAUAUAGAGAUAAAAAUAGAGGUGGGUUGGAGAUGGUCUUAUUGAUCUUAGUUAUAAGAAAGAGAUAAUACUAACUUUAAGAAGAUAAACUAUUCAGUACAACGUUGUUGUAUAUCGACAUCAAUAAAAGUUAAGAUAUAUACAUAGAUGGUGAAAGUUUACAGCACCAACGCAGGGUUCUCCGCAUCUAAUUGUUGAAAAUAUGUUUGUUCACUCGGUUAAUCAUAAUCCAAUUUAAUCUGAACCUAGAAAAAACGAUUUAACCAAAUAAUAAAAAAAACAAAAAAAAGUAAUAAUGAAAGAGUCAGAAAUCUCGUGUGGAAAAAAACGACGCUCAUCACAUCUAUAAGAUGCUUGCUUUCGUUAUAGUUUGGAUUUCAUCAUUCUCCUAAAAAAAAAUUGUUUCAAAAAAACCCAAGAAAACUGAGUUAUAUAACUAUGAAGCAAUAGAUUAGAACAGAAUCGAUGCGAGGAGAAGAAGACUGCGUUGAUAUAUAGAAGAUAAACGAUUCGCCCUAGUUGUGGUGAUAUUGGGCUUUUAGGGCCCAUUUAGGGAAACUAGGUUACACAUUAGCGCUUAGGGGUUAUAUAUAAAAAGGGUUUUUAUUAUUUUGCUUACUUCACUUUGUCAGCAGCCGCAGGACACAUCGAAGCUUAAGGAGUAGGGGAAGAAUGUCUCACAGGAAGUUUGAGCACCCAAGACACGGAUCACUUGGUUUCCUACCAAGGAAGAGAGCUAACCGUCACAGAGGAAAAGUGAAGGCCUUCCCUAAGGAUGACCAAACCAAGCCUUGCAAGUUCACAGCCUUCAUGGGAUACAAGGCUGGUAUGACCCACAUCGUUAGAGAUGUCGAGAAGCCCGGAUCCAGUAAGU